GUGGCUUCCUCAGCACAUACACUAAACUCUGAGGGUUCCAAGAUUAGCAUGGCCCUUGUGCAAGUAUGACAUGCAAAUUCGUGAAGUAUUUCCUAUUUUC
rnacentral:snRNA from 1 species